GUCCCAGUAGUAUAUUGGUUAGAAUAGAUCCUUGACACGGAUCAGAGGCAGUUCGAUUCUGACCUGUAAUA
rnacentral:tRNA from 1 species